GUGAAUCAUCGAAUCUUUGAACGCAUAUUGCACUCUCUGGUAUUCCGGAGAGUACGCCUGUUUGAGGGUAAUUAAAAAGAAUAAUUAACCAUUUUUUUUUUUUCAAAGGAAUUGAGCUCUCCGCGUUUAUUGCGGUAGCUUGAAAUAAAUGGUCAAGUCUUAUUUUAGUCGAUACGAGUAAUAAUUUUAUUUUGCGACAUCU
rnacentral:misc_RNA from 1 species